rnacentral:rRNA from 1 species
AACAGGAUUAGAUACCCUGGUAGUCCACACAGUAAACGAUGAAUACUCGCUGUUUGCGAUAUACAGUAAGCGGCUAAGCGAAAGCGUUAAGUAUUCCACCUGGGGAGUACGCCGGCAACGGUGAAACUCAAAGGAAUUGACGGGGGCCCGCACAAGCGGAGGAACAUGUGGUUUAAUUCGAUGAUACGCGAGGAACCUUACCCGGGCUUGAAUUGCAGUGGAAUAUAUUAGAAAUAGUAUAGCCGCAAGGCCGCUGUGAAGGUGCUGCAUGGUUGUCGUCAGCUCGUGCCGUGAGGUGUCGGCUUAAGUGCCAUAACGAGCGCAACCCUUAUCAUUAGUUACUAACAGGUUAUGCUGAGGACUCUAAUGAGACUGCCGUCGUAAGAUGCGAGGAAGGUGGGGAUGACGUCAAAUCAGCACGGCCCUUACGUUCGGGGCUACACACGUGUUACAAUGGGGGGUACAACAGGCAGCUACCGGGCGACCGGAUGCUAAUCCCGAAAACCUCUCUCAGUUCGGAUCGAAGUCUGCAACCCGACUUCGUGAAGCUGGAUUCGCUAGUAAUCGCGCAUCAGCCACGGCGCGGUGAAUACGUUCCCGGGCCUUGUACACACCGCCCGUCAAGCCAUGGGAGCCGGGGGCACCUGAAGUACGUAACCGCAAGGAGCGUCCUAGGGUGAAACUGGUGACUGGGGCUAAGUCGUAACAAGGUAACC